AACGCACCUUGCGCUCCUUGGUAUUCCGAGGAGCAUGCCUGUUUGAGUGUCAUUAAAUUCUCAACCUUACCAGUUUUCACGAAUUGGUAAUGGCUUGGACUUGGGGGUUUUUUGCUGGCUUCGUCAAGAGGUCUGCUCCCCUUAAAUGUAUUAGCCGGUACCCUUGUGGAGUCGUCUAUUGGUGUGAUAAUUAUCUACGCCGUGGGCCUUCACUUUAAAUGGAUUGUACUGCUUCUAACCGUCCGUUAAGUCGGACAAAUAAUGACAAUUUGACCUCAAAUCAGGUAGGACUACCCGCUGAACUUAA
rnacentral:rRNA from 1 species